AGAGAUAGAACUGAAGAAAAGUAGAGGUUUGGUGGCAAAGUCUUAUGAUAUAAUCAGUGAAAUUUCACCUCUUGAAUUUGGGUGGAUUCUGGGACAUGACCAAUAUCAAGCUGUAGACCUCUAAGACUGAAGGCCCUGACCUGGAUCAUGGUGAACGCACCAAAGCAAAUAAUGCCUGGGAGAUGGUCCUGCAGCAGCCAGUCAAUGCUCUCUUUUGGUGACACUCAGUCCUUGCUGUAUAACUUUGAAUUCCUAUAAGUUCAUUAAGGUUCCAAUAAAUUUUUUCUCCCAUU